rnacentral:rRNA from 1 species
GCUCCAAUAGCGUAUAUUAAAGUUGUUGCAGUUAAAAAGCUCGUAGUUGGAUUUCUGUUAAUAAUUUAUAUAAAAUAUUUUGAUGAAUAUUUAUAUAAUAUUAACAUAAUUCAUAUUACUAUUUUUUUUUUUAGUAUAUGAAAUUUUACUUUGAGAAAAUUAGAGUGCUUAAAGCAGGCAUAUGCCUUGAAUACUCCAGCAUGGAAUAAUAUUAAAGAUUUUUAUCUUUUUUAUUGGUUCUAAGAUAAGAAUAAUGAUUAAUAGGGACAGUUGGGGGCAUUUGUAUUUAACAGUCAGAGGUGAAAUUCUUAGAUUUGUUAAAGACAAACUAAUGCGAAAGCAUUUGCCAAGGAUGUUUUCAUUAAUCAAGAACGAAAGUUAGGGGAUCGAAGACGAUCAGAUACCGUCGUAGUCU